rnacentral:tRNA from 1 species
GGCUAGGUAGCUCAGUCGGUAGUAGCGUUCGCCUGAAAAGUGAAAGGUCGUCGGUUCGAUUCCGACCCUAGCCACCA